CAGGAGAUGCUUUAGUGCCUACGGGAACUCUGAGACAGGUGCUGCAUGGCUGUCGUCAGCUCGUGUUGUGAAAUGUUGGGUUAAGUCCCGNAACGAGCGCAACCCUUAUCCUUUGUUGCCAGCACGUAAUGGUGGGAACUCAAAGGAGACUGCCGGUGAUAAACCGGAGGAAGGUGGGGAUGACGUCAAGUCAUCAUGGCCCUUACGAGUAGGGCUACACACGUGCUACAAUGGCGCAUACAAAGAGAAGCGACCUCGCGAGAGCAAGCGGACCUCAUAAAGUGCGUCGUAGUCCGGAUUGGAGUCUGCAACUCGACUCCAUGAAGUCGGAAUCGCUAGUAAUCGUAAAUCAGAAUGUUACGGUGAAUACGUUCCCGGGCCUUGUACACACCGCCCGUCACACCAUGGGAGUGGGUUGCAAAAGAAGUAGAUAGCUUAACCUUCGGGAGGGCGUUUACCACUUUGUGAUUCAUGACUGGGGUGAAGUCGUAACAAGGUAAGCGUAGUGCU
rnacentral:rRNA from 1 species